GCUUAUACAUGCAAGUCGAACGGUAACAUUGGUGCUUGCACCAGAUGACGAGUGGCGCACGGGUGCGUAACGCGUAUGCAACCUACCUUUUACUAGAGUAUAGCCCAGAGAAAUUUGGAUUAAUCCUCUAUAAUAUCUUUUAAUUUCAUGAUUAUUAGAUUAAAGUUUUAAUGGUAAAAGAUGGGCAUGCGUCCUAUUAGUUUGUAGGUGAGGUAACGGCUCACCUAGACUACGAUAGGUAGGGGCCCUGAGAGGGGGAUCCCCCACACUGGUACUGAGACACGGACCAGACUCCUACGGGAGGCAGCAGUAAGGAAUAUUGGACAAUGGACGAAAGUCUGAUCCAGCCAUGCCGCGUGCAGGAUGAAAGCCCUAUGGGUUGUAAACUGCUUUUAUACAGGAAGAAAAACUUCGACGUGUCGGAGCUUGACGGUACUGUAAGAAUAAGGAUCGGCUAACUCCGUGCCAGCAGCCGCGGUAAUACGGAGGAUCCAAGCGUUAUCCGGAAUCAUUGGGUUUAAAGGGUCCGCAGGCGGUCUUUUAAGUCAGAGGUGAAAGCCUACAGCUCAACUGUAGAACGGCCUUUGAUACUGAAAGACUUGAGUUAUUGUGAAGUGGUUAGAAUGUGUGGUGUAGCGGUGAAAUGCAUAGAUAUCACACAGAAUACCGAUUGCGAAGGCAGAUCACUAACAAUAUACUGACGCUCAUGGACGAAAGCGUGGGGAGCGAACAGGAUUAGAUACCCUGGUAGUCCACGCCGUAAACGAUGGAUACUAGCUGUUCGUCUAACAUUGGUUAGAUGAGUGGCUAAGCGAAAGUGAUAAGUAUCCCACCUGGGGAGUACGGUCGCAAGACUGAAACUCAAAGGAAUUGACGGGGGCCCGCACAAGCGGUGGAGCAUGUGGUUUAAUUCGAUGCAACGCGAAAAACCUUACCUAUGCUUGACAUACUUGGAAUACUUUGUAAUGAAGUAGUGCCUUCGGGAGCCAAGAUACAGGUGCUGCAUGGCUGUCGUCAGCUCGUGUC
rnacentral:rRNA from 1 species